CGGCGGACGGGUGAGUAAUGCCUAGGAAUCUGCCUGGUAGUGGGGGACAACGUUUCGAAAGGAACGCUAAUACCGCAUACGUCCUACGGGAGAAAGCAGGGGACCUUCGGGCCUUGCGCUAUCAGAUGAGCCUAGGUCGGAUUAGCUAGUUGGUGAGGUAAUGGCUCACCAAGGCGACGAUCCGUAACUGGUCUGAGAGGAUGAUCAGUCUCACUGGAACUGAGACACGGUCCAGACUCCUACGGGAGGCAGCAGCC
rnacentral:rRNA from 1 species